GCAGUCAGUUCGAUACCGAGCGCCGAAGCGUUCGGUUCGCUCCGAUUCCGGCGUGCGCCGUUAUCGUCAUCGGUUCCUAUAUAUCCCGUCACCACGUUCGCGCGACUGAACCGGGCCGACCCCUCCUCCCCCCCGCGUCCGGGGUACCGGGCCGGUGCGCGCUGACCGGGGGAUGACCGGGGGCACGGAGCGCGCCGCGGGCUUACCUGCGACACGCGGAAACGUAUACCGCGAGACAUGUGCGCUCCCGCGGAGUUGAAAGAGCCGCUAUAAAAAGUAUAUCUGGACCGAAGAGGGUCGCGCGCGAAAUAAGGGUAACAUUUUUCGAUCGCGAUCGAAGGGUUUCGCAUUCUUCCUUUCGCGACGGAGAGAAAGUCGCUCCUUUAUGAACGGGACGCGCUUCACCACACGUUCGACCGGUGCGGGACAAUGCUUUGGACCAUGUGCACCUUCGAGGGGCUUCGCUCUGCGAAUGAGCUUUUGAAUUCCCGGGAGGCCGUUGUGGCGAACGGCGGUGAGACCGCGAAGGGGACACCGCCACUGCUCCUCUUCUCUUCAAUGGGUCCUCGUGCGAGGAUAGGAGAGCCUCGGGAGAAGAAAACGCAGCUUAAGUGCCCUCGUUAACGCGAUCGCCUAUCAUGACGCUGCGAACGCGCACGACCUUUUCGCCUAUUAAUCAUCGCGCCCGGUACGUCAUAAUCGGUUCAGGUGCAAUAUCGCCUCGUCAGUGAUUUCGUGUGCGGCCGCGGGUGUGUGCGUGCCAGCUCGGACUCGCCCCAAUUACGUGCAAUUUGGCGACGUCGUCGACCAGGGGCACCGGGGAACCCUUCCUUCGGCGGGGGAUGCGAGGACCGUUCGCGUCGCGCGAUAUCAACGGCGAUUCGAGCGCGUCGGGAUGAGGUGGCGGCCGGACGACCGGCACCGGACGGACUUCCGAAUUGGGACGAAUAAGCUGCGCUCCGGCGGCGAUCGAACGCGGCCACUCGCCCCUUGAAGCGGCAGCGGCGGCGGCGGCGGCUGCGGCACUCAACCCUCCCGAGGAGGACGCACCUCCCCCGAAAAACAACGACCUCGAUCCUCGUUCUCGCGCCGCCAUCGUUUCCGGCGCGAUCGAUAUAUAGACGCUUCCGGGACGGAGAAACGCGCGGAUCUCAUGCAUAUGUAUAGCCGUGCGUUAAAAUGUGCGGACAAUCAGAGUCAAGGUCGAAUCGGCCGUCCCGCUCCGCCAGACCGAUAUCUGAAUCACGGACAGACGUAGUCGGAAAUAGUGCGCUCGAUAUCGUCUCUCCGGUAUGUAUGCUAUUCCUGGCUAAAACGAGCCAGGGUGUUAUUGUCUCUGAUUGGCAGUAACCGAGAGCUAAGAUCGAGCCUUAGCCUCGCUCCAUUCUUCACUCACUCUCUCUCUCUCUAUAUAUAUAUAUCUAUCUCUCUCGUUUGAAACUUUGAAGCGGAUAUACCGCGAUUGCGAUGUGAACAUUGCGCGAGCAACGAUCUUUCUGCGGGAAUGGAGAUAUCGGAAAUGGAAUUCGGUUUACGAGUGGUAUAAGUGGACGCGAUCGUAAAAUAUAAAAUUUAAUGGUCGACCGCCCGGCACGUGAACGUGAACGUUCUGUGAACAGAAGCGUUUCUAACAAGGGAAGAGUAUCGGAGAUAGAGAAUCGAAUUUACGAGUGGAAAAAACGAUGUAAACGACAGUGUCGGGAAUACAAAAUUCGCCGAGCAAGUUCAACGAGCUCAAAAGAUCGCUGUGACCGCGAGAAUAUUUCUAAUUCGUUAGACACUAUAAACUGCUGGAAUGGAAUUUGGUUUUGAACUUUGGACGAUCCACCACACGCUCGACCAAUAAAGUUUCAUAACUGUCAACACCGUCGGAUUAGCUCUAUAAUGGUGGAAAAUUAAAACGUGUGUUGCGGAUUAUCGGACAGCGGACGCGACGCAAACCAUGAUAGAGGAACGCUGAAAUUGUUUAAUCUCGCAAAUUGACAAUAUUGAAUGUCGCGGCAAGACCACGGACAAAAAAAAUUUCGCGGAUGGAAAUAACGGUGCAACUGUUGCUGCCAUAAAUUAGGUCAAUGUUUCGGAAUCUCUUGUUCAAUCUCCGCGUGCGAAGCGCGCUAACGCGGCAUUAAACUCGACUCGGGAGGGGGGCUAAAAACUGGUGUGACGCGGUGUUUUUCCCCGCGGCGACGGCGACGGCGACGGUGCGACAAAAUGUGUAAGCGCGGAAGUGGUUUGCACGCUAUUCAUUUUGAGAGGAAACGUUUUAACCACUCUGCGCGGUGGAGCAUUUUAUUAAGAAAGAGGCGUGACGUGCGGAGAUGUCAACCCGAAGAAUCGAGAGUUCCGUCGCGUGUAUAGCGCUUUACAGGCGAGGGUGAAUCGACGGAACAGAGCGUUUUCCCGCCGUUCCCCGCCGCGGUGGCAGUGACAUCGUGGUCGGCAGGGUCCAAGGGCCCAUGGCCGGGAACUGUUUUCGCCGGUUCUGGUGGUGGCUCCCGAUCGCGAUCCUAUCCGGGUGCUUCUCCCCCGCAGUCGAAGCCGGUAUCUCGUGCACGUCCACCUACCCCUCGGAGACAGCGCGUGACGUGCGGCCCCGGCCCGACGCGGACGUGAUAAUCUUCCUGGGCGAGAGAUGCGACGGGGAGAUCAACGUCACCGAGAUACAGGAUCACUUGGAGCGCGAUCUAGCCGGCGAGCACUCGAUCAGCGUGAUGCCGAGAUCCGAGACGUGUGAGACGGAAACCGGGGGCCUCGGCGCGCUGAUCCACGCUCUCGGCGAGAGCAAGACGAAGGCGGUGAUAGCCGCGCUCGACAGCUCGAUCUGCGAGGUCGCCGCCAAACUCGCGCAUCUUGGGAAUAAACCGCUGCUAACUUGGACUUGUCCGCUGAGAGAUUUAAAGGAAAGGGAUCUAUCUUCGAUCAUUAGGCUCUCUCCGUCAUUACCGUCAAUGGCUAAUGCCGUAGCGGAAAUAUUCCUGCACUUGCAGUGGAAGUCCGCGGAUGUUAUCAGUAUAGAUCGCGAACCGUGGUCCAGCCUGGACCGUGCUGUGAUCAAUGCGUUCCGAAGUAUCGGCGUCGCCCUGCGGUACCACCUGAUUCUACCCCAUCGCGCCACCCUCGAGCAGAUCCGCAGGAUUCUGAGGUCCGUGCACAGCGUUUCCCGUCGUGUUAUGGUGCUUUGUCUGCCGCUACUCGACGAGAUGACAAACCGCGUUCUGAUCGAGCUGAACGCCGCGUGGCAAACGCACAUCCAGAAUUCCGUCAUCCUGAUGAUCCACACGGAGGAUAUCGACCUCUUCCUACCGAGAGACGACUCGCCGCCCACGUCACCCCCCACCGAUCCGUCGACCUUGGCCCAUUCCGCGAUUACACAGUCUUCCAAUUUUUCUACCUCGAAUGUAACUCGCGCCGGCCCGUACACGACCCCGGAGAGAGACGAGAGAAUGCGGAGGGUGCAGCAGACCUCGCGAAGAUUCGCCCCGCCGAGGAAUCUCAGCAGCACCACGAUGGAGAAUCUGCUUGUGGUCGCGCCACUCGAUCAGAGGUACGACGUGAGUAAGGUCCUCAACGGCACGCAGGAUUACGCGACGCUGGCGUUGCUCGAUCGACUGAAUGAAUCGCUGACUGUGCUAACGCGCGACAACAGCAGCCUCGACAGCCACAAUAACAAGAUAUACACGUAUGCCCUAAUGAACUGGCGUGACGCCGGCUGGGAGCCGAUCCUCACGGUGGUCGAGCGGCAUCAGCAGCAGCUGAUGGUCCAGCAGCUGACGCCGAGUGCGAUGGCGUUUCUCAACAUCGAGGCGCCCGAUCUGCCGUCCUGCGACGUCGACGGCGAUUGCCCGAAUGGCUUGGCCGACAUGUCUUUCCGUUCCACACAUAUCGUAGCUAUUAUUCUUGGGUCGCUGCUGUUCACCUUUGUCGCCAUUGCCGUCGCAAUUAUAAUCCGGAAGCGGCUGCUUAAGAAAAGGAUGUCCAAGGGCCCGUACAAAAUCAUUUUAACGACGUCGGACUUCGUUUUUCCUCAAGUGCCUCCAGUAGAUUCAAGAACGGUAGACGAGGGCAUCGAGGCGAUGCUGUGCUGCUGGCUGCAGCAGCUGCAGGAGUUCGGCGGGCCGGAAGUCGAGAAGCCGGAUCUGCUCCAGCUCGGGAGCGUGAACUCGCUGAGGCCGUACCUGCAGGCCAGCGGCGGGAACAUACCGCGGAACACCUUCUUCAAGGAUCCACGCGCUAGAUAUAACGGUGACUUGGUUCAAUUGAAGGAGCUGCCCUUUCAAGGUACGUUCGAACUGAAGAACAAGGCCAUGGACGUGCUGGUCACGAUCCACGGGCUGCGACACGAGAACCUCAACCCACUGAUUGGAUGCCUUAAUGAACCUACGAGACCCUGUCUGGUGUCGGAGUACUGCUCGAGGGGCUCCCUGGAGGACGUACUCGUCCAGGACGAGAUUAAACUCGACUGGUCCUUCAGAUUAUCCUUGCUCACCGAUCUUGUACGGGGUAUGAAGUACCUUCACAGCACUCCGAUACGCGUCCACGGCUACCUCACGUCGCGGAAUUGCGUGAUCGAUGCGCGGUGGGUCUUGAAAGUUACCGAUUACGGCCUGCCUGCAUUUUAUGAAGUCCAGAACAUAGUGCCGCCAGUGAAAACAGCUCGAGACCUGUUGUGGACCGCGCCGGAACUGCUUAGGCAUCUAAAUUUGCGGAAAAAAGGAACCCAGCCGGGGGAUGUUUACAGUUUCGGAAUUAUCAUGCAGGAAGUUGUUGUUCGCGGAGAACCAUUUUGUAUGCUCGCCCUAUCUCCGGAAGAUAUAAUCGAGAAAGUAAUGAAGCCGCCGCCCCUGAUCAGACCAUCGGUCAGCAAGGGGGCCGCGCCACCGGAAGCCAUAAACAUCAUGCGCCAGUGCUGGGCGGAAACUGCUGAAAUGAGGCCCAACUUUGACGACGUUCACGAUCUCUUCAAGAAGUUAAAUCACGGGAGAAAGGUAAACUUCGUAGACACGAUGUUUCAAAUGCUGGAGAAGUAUUCGAACAAUCUAGAGGAACUCAUUCGCGAGCGUACGGAACAGCUUGACAUGGAGAAGAAAAAGACCGAGCAAUUAUUAAAUAGAAUGUUACCUAGUUCGGUCGCCGAAAAACUGAAGCUCGGCAUGCCCGUCGAUCCCGAAGAGUUUCGCGAGGUCACGAUUUAUUUCUCGGACAUCGUUGGCUUCACGACGAUAUCCGCGCGUUCGACGCCCUUUCAGGUGGUUGAUCUUCUCAACGAUCUGUACACUUGCUUCGACGACACGAUUAACGCAUACACGGUUUACAAGGUGGAAACAAUCGGAGAUGCCUACAUGGUUGUAGGCGGUUGCCCUGUUAGGAUACCCGAUCAUGCGACUCAAAUAGCAACCAUGGCACUCGAUCUGUUACAUCAGAGUGGAAAGUUUAAGCUAAAACAUCUUCCGGACACGCAGCUCAGGUUACGCAUUGGUCUCCACACAGGCCCGUGUUGUGCCGGCGUGGUGGGUUUAACAAUGCCGCGUUAUUGCUUGUUCGGCGACACGGUGAACACCGCCUCGAGGAUGGAGUCGACCGGGGCGCCGUGGCGUAUCCAUCUAAGCCAAGCGACGAGGGAUCGAUUGACACAGGUCGGCGGAUACCACAUCGAAUACCGCGGGCCCACCGACGUCAAGGGCAAAGGGAAGAUGCCGACCUACUGGCUGCUCGGCAAGCAGGGCUUCGACAAGGAGCUCCCCAAACCGCCGCCCCUUAGGGAGAACCAUGGGCUCGACGAGAGUCUCUUGCUGGUCGGUCACCAGAACGGAGCGUCGAGCGACUCGGCGUGCUCGCAGCUACCGGUGAUUCCAUCGCAGGACGAGACGCACGAGGAGGAGCCGGCGAGUCCCGUUGAGGUCGUACCCGACGGUCAAAACCGCCAGGAUUCCGUCAGCAGCGGAAUGACUAUCAGCGACAGUCGAGCCGCGUCCUUCGAGGAAGGCGCCGCCACCAGGAAAGUCGCCGUGUCCGUGCACAACGAGCGCACGUUGCUGCCGAGCUACUCCUUGAAGUCCACCAACGACUUCGUCGAGGUGUUGCAGGGCAAGCAGGACACGGUGACGAGGACGAGCGAGACGGUACACGGCGGCGUGACCAAGAGCACGUCCAGCGACAACCAGGCCUCCCUCAGCGUGUCGACCUCGAUGACCGGGGGCGAUACGACCGCGGCGAUCCUCGGCGCGUCCACCAGCUCGCUCUCGUCGAUCGCCAGCUCGGCGGCGUAUCGGCAGCCGCUGGCGAGGCAUCGCCGCUUCGCUGGAUGCAUCGACGAGAAUGAUCUCAGCACACCGUACAAUUAUUACAGAUGUCUGUCGCCCAACGAGCAUCACGGGAAGGGUCCCGGAUGCCGAAUGCUCAAAAGGCAGUUCAGCCUGGACCGUCCGGACGAGCCGGUGUCUAUAAUUCCCGAGCAGCCCCAGCCAAGGUCGACUCCUCGUCUCUACAAGCAAAAUAGCGCGGGCGCGGCCAACGACUUGGAGAGAAUCGAGGAAGUGCCACCAGCCACUCCUAAGCCCCUCCUACAGAAUUACCGUCAUGCCGCUUCCGUAUCCCUCUCCGUCGAAUCCCUAUCGUUACGUUAAAAUCCCCGUCGAGAAAAGUUUUCACGAAUGAAAGAUCGAGCGACGCGAGCGCGUUUAGAGCAGCGAACGAUUCACGCCAAGAAUCGCUAUUAUACGAUGUGAUUGAUAAAACGCCGUGUAAAAGAUACGAAAGAUACGAAUUGCAGUUUUACGUCUAUAGCCGUAAUUCUACUUCUAGGAAAAAAAUACAAGAGAGCUCGGUUAAACUCUGAGAUUGGAAUCAACGUUAAUUGAGAUUAACGGUCAACUGAGAUUAAUCAACAUUGACGGCACCGAUCUUCGACGAUCACGACCGAGAAAGAAACGUCGACUUGAAAACUCGACCGCAAUAAUUUGAGGGUCGGUAUCCUUGAAGACGCGUUCCGCGCGUAAUUAAGUGACGAGUAAAUGUGUACGAUUGCUGAUGUGACUCGCUGCUCCGUCUGUAUUCUUAUCAUUGUGAGUGUACAUUGUAUUGGUGUCCGAUAAUACCCGCAGGCAGGGGAUCGUAACGAACGUAAUUCGUGAUUAGAGAUUUAAUGGUUUAUAGGCGUGUGUUGUAAAUUUACAAAUAAUCGUUGGUGCAAAAAGAAAAACUUUCUAGGAUUUACGGGCGAUCCGCUUUUUCCUCGGAACGUGUCUGUACCUGUCAAUCUUACGUAUUUCGACGUUUCAUCGAUAACGAUUCAACGACGCUGUCAUCAUCUGAUCUUCGAUGCUGAAUUAUUAGCAUCUCAGAUAUUUACGAUCGUUUUUUACCUUGCAAGAAUGAACAAUUUUCCUCUCUCCCACGAUUAUUUAUUAUCUCUAAUCGUCAACGGUUGUAUACUCUCGCUAGAUGUACCUAUCUGUAAAGCGAAGAUCUAAAGUCGAUUUUACUGAAUGAAAUUUAAUGUUAUAAAAUCACUUCCGCGCAUCUCGUGGAAGAUAAGAAAGUUCCAAUUCCAUAAACUUAACGUGGAUCUUAGGCUAUUGACAGAGGCAAGACGGAUAGCAAGAUAAAUACAAAAGGAAAAAUAUUUAACUAACUAAUAAUUUUUUGUUAAAUAUAUCUCGAUAAAAAAAUUAUUCUUUAAGAAAGAAGUUGAAUAUAUUGCUCUUACGCAUGUACAGUCUUUAUGUUAAUAAUUAUAUUUCGGUCGAAACUCACGAUGCCAUCGAUGGACUGUGAUGUCAAUCGAGAAAGAAAGUUACAUAGGAAGUAAUUAACCAUCUCGCGAUUAUGGCAGCAGAGAAGUACUUCGUCGGUCAGCAGAUUCUCUCUGAAGCCAACAUAAUUGCAUGGAUUAUGACAGGAGGGAGUUAUAUCCAACUGGCUUUCCUAAUUCACCGUUUUAGAAAAUCUCUUGCGGUCGACGAGCGAAAAUCAAUCUUGUGGCGAGUCACGAGUGACGAGUGACAUAAGAAACGAUAGACCGGCGAUGAGAAGAGCUUUCUUCUCUACACGUUCCCUCGUGCCAAGUGAAAUUGCUAUGCGGCACAGGUUCUUACUUUAUGAUCGUAAACGCUGGUAAUGUCACGCCAAGCACACGGAUGACGGAGUGCGCGACGUAUAAACAUUCGGAGAUCGCUAAGAUGAUCAUAAUGGACGAGAGACUUCGACUAUGGCGACGUGCUAUGGAUAAGGGAUGGAUUUUAUUGUCGAGAUAAAAGUGCCGUCACUUGAUCGAGCUUCCAGCUGUUUAUUGAUUUUUAAAUGCACCCAUUUAAAUGCGGCUUCUAAAUUGCUGUUUGACUAUGUAACGUCGCGUGCAAAAAAAAAUCGCCCAUAGAUUUCUUAUAAAAGCGAAAUACUUAUUAUUUUUUAUUCUUGACUUAUUUUUGACGUGCAAUCGUGUCGAUUUGCACAAAACAGAUACUUUUCUAUAAUUAAUAAAUAUUAGAAAAGAUUGAUUCUUAUUUUAACAGAAGCGUAAUAAUUCUAUUAAUACA